rnacentral:rRNA from 1 species
AUUGAACGCUGGCGGCAGGCCUAACACAUGCAAGUCGAACGAGUGGCGGACGGGUGAGUAAUGUCUGGGAAACUGCCUGAUGGAGGGGGAUAACUACUGGAAACGGUAGCUAAUACCGCAUACCAUCGGAUGUGCCCAGAUGGGAUUGGCUAGUAGGUGGGGUAAAGGCUCACCUAGGCCACGAUCCCAAGCUGGUCUGAGAGGAUGACCAUCCAGACUGGAACUGUGACACGGGCCAGACUCCUACGUGAGGCAGCCGUGGGGAAUAUUGCACAAUGGGCGCAAGCCUGAUGCAGCCAUGCCGCGUGUAUGAAGAAGGCCUUCGGGUUGUAAAGUACUUUCAGCGGGGAGGCGUUACCCGCAGAAGAAGCACCGGCUAACUCCGUGCCAGCAGCCGCGGUAAUUC